CACGUUGAAACACCAGUUCUUGUAUGAUCACACAAGUUAAGCAAUGUUGACCCUAGUCAGUACCUAGAUGGUUGACCUCUUGGGAAUACCAGAUGCUGUAAG